AUGAACGCUGGCGGCAUGUUUAAGGCAUGCAAGUCUUGGGGUAGCUUGCUACCCCGGCAGACGGGUGCGUAACACAUUGGUAAUCUACCUUGAGCUCGAGUAUAACCCGGAGAAAUCUGGGACAAUCCUCGAUAAUCAUGGGGGGACAUUAGUCAUUCCCAUGUAAAGCUUCGGCGGCUCGAGAGGAGCCUAUGGCCCAUCAGCUAGUUGGUAGGGUAAUGGCCUACCAAGGCUAUGACGGGUAGCGGGUGUGAGAGCAUGACCCGCCUCACUGGGACUGAGACACUGCCCAGACUCCUACGGGAGGCUGCAGUCGAGAAUCUUCCUCAAUGGCCGAAAGGCUGAAGGAGCAAUGCCGCGUGAUCGAAGAAGCCCUUCGGGGUGUAAAGAUCUUUUAUGAGGGACGAAUUUGUGACGGUACCUCAUGAAUAAGCCACUGCUAACUUCGU
rnacentral:rRNA from 1 species